UACGUAGGGUGCGAGCGUUAAUCGGAAGUACUGGGCGUAAAGCGUGCGCAGGCGGUUCGUCAAGUCUGAUGUGAAAGCCCCGGGCUCAAACUGGGAAUGGCAUGGGAAACUGGCGAGCUGGAGUGCGGCAGAGGGGGGUGGAAUUCCGCGUGUAGCAGUGAAAUGCGUAGAGAUGCGGAGGAACACCGAUGGCGAAGGCAGUUCCCAGGGCCGACAAUGACGCUCAUGCACGAAAGCGUGGGGAGCAAACAGG
rnacentral:rRNA from 1 species